UCUCUGGUAGUAUAGUGGUCAGUAUGUGAGCUUGUCAAGCAGCCUUGCUAGGGGAAGGUCUGACUUCGCUCGAGACCCGGGUUCAAUUCCCGGCCGGAGAG